rnacentral:rRNA from 1 species
UGGGGAAUCUUGGACAAUGGGCGCAACCCUGAUCUAGCCAUGCCGCGUGAGUGAAGAAGGCCUUAGGGUCGUAAAGCUCUUUCGCCAGGGAUGAUAAUGACAGUACCUGGUAAAGAAACCCCGGCUAACUCCGUGCCAGCAGCCGCGGUAAUACGGAGGGGGUUAGCGUUGUUCGGAAUUACUGGGCGUAAAGCGCACGUAGGCGGACUUGAAAGUUGGGGGUGAAAUCCCGGGGCUCAACCUCGGAACUGCCUUCAAAACUCCAAGUCUAGAGUUCGAGAGAGGUGAGUGGAAUUCCGAGUGUAGAGGUGAAAUUCGUAGAUAUUCGGAGGGACACCAGUGGCGAAGGCGGCUCACUGGCUCGAUACUGACGCUGAGGUGCGAAAGUGUGGGGAGCAAACAGGAUUAGAUACCCUGGUAGUCCACACCGUAAACGAUGAAUGCCAGUCGUCGGGUAGUAUACUAUUCGGUGACACACCUAACGGAUUAAGCAUUCCGCCUGGGGAGUACGGUCGCAAGAUUA